rnacentral:pre_miRNA from 1 species
UUUUUUAAUUUGUAUUAAUUUCUACUAUUAAAAACCGGUGUAGCUAAUAAAAUAAUUAAACAGUUGCACAUGAUGUGCUAUAUGUAUCUCAUGCUCACAUACGAAAACUCGUUUUUAUCAAUAAAAAUAAAUGAAAAUUUUAACA